rnacentral:rRNA from 1 species
UAUUACCGAAGCUGUGGAUUGUCCUUUGGACAAUGGUAGGAGAGCGUUCUAAGGGCGUUGAAGCAUGAUCGCAAGGACAUGUGGAGCGCUUAGAAGUGAGAAUGCCGGUGUGAGUAGCGAAAGACGGGUGAGAAUCCCGUCCACCGAUUGACUAAGGUUUCCAGAGGAAGGCUCGUCCGCUCUGGGUUAGUCGGGUCCUAAGCUGAGGCCGACAGGCGUAGGCGAUGGAUAACAGGUUGAUAUUCCUGUACCACCAUUAUUCGUUUUAAGCGAUGGGGGGACGCAGUAGGAUAGGCGAAGCGUGCUGUUGGAGUGCACGUCCAAGCAGUGAGAUUGAGUGUUAGGCAAAUCCGGCACUCUUAAGAUUGAGCUGUGAUGGGGAGAGGAACUUGUUCCUCGAGUCGUUGAUUUCACACUGCCGAGAAAAGCCUCUAGCUAGAAUAACGGUGCCCGUACCGCAAACCGACACAGGUAGUCAAGAUGAGAAUUCUAAGGUGAGCGAGCGAACUCUCGUUAAGGAACUCGGCAAAAUGACCCCGUAACUUCGGGAGAAGGGGUGCUCUUUGAGGUUCACGCUUCGAAGAGCCGCAGUGAAUAGGCCCAAGCGACUGUUUAUCAAAAACACAGGUCUCUGCUAAACCGUAAGGUGACGUAUAGGGGCUGACGCCUGCCCGGUGCUGGAAGGUUAAGAGGAGUGGUUAGCGCAAGCGAAGCUACGAAUCGAAGCCCCAGUAAACGGCGGCCGUAACUAUAACGGUCCUAAGGUAGCGAAAUUCCUUGUCGGGUAAGUUCCGACCCGCACGAAAGGCGUAACGAUUUGGGCACUGUCUCAACGAGAGACUCGGUGAAAUCAUAGUACCGGUGAAGAUGCCGGUUACCCGCGACAGGACGGAAAGACCCCGUGGAGCUUUACUGUAGCCUGAUAUUGAAAUUCGGUACAGUUUGUACAGGAUAGGUAGGAGCCUUAGAAGCGUGAGCGCUAGCUUACGUGGAGGCAUUGGUGGGAUACUACCCUAAUUGUAUUGGAUUUCUAACCCGCAGCACUUAUCGUGCUGGGAGACAGUGUCAGGCGGGCAGUUUGACUGGGGCGGUCGCCUCCUAAAGAGUAACGGAGGCGCUCAAAGGUUCCCUCAGAAUGGUUGGAAAUCAUUCAUAGAGUGUAAAGGCAUAAGGGAGCUUGACUGCGAGACCUACAAGUCGAGCAGGGUCGAAAGACGGACUUAGUGAUCCGGUGGUUCCGCAUGGAAGGGCCAUCGCUCAACGGAUAAAAGCUACCCCGGGGAUAACAGGCUUAUCUCCCCCAAGAGUUCACAUCGACGGGGAGGUUUGGCACCUCGAUGUCGGCUCAUCGCAUCCUGGGGCUGUAGUCGGUCCCAAGGGUUGGGCUGUUCGCCCAUUAAAGCGGUACGCGAGCUGGGUUCAGAACGUCGUGAGACAGUUCGGUCCCUAUCCGUCGUGGGCGUAGGAAAUUUGAGAGGAGCUGUCCUUAGUACGAGAGGACCGGGAUGGACAUACCUCUGGUGUACCAGUUGUCGUGCCAACGGCAUAGCUGGGUAGCUAUGUAUGGACGGGAUAAGUGCUGAAAGCA